rnacentral:rRNA from 1 species
UACGGGAGACAGCAGUUAGGAAUAUUCGUCAAUGGAGGAAACUCUGAACGAGCAAUGCCGCGUGAGUGAUGAAGGUCUUAUAGAUUGUAAAACUCUGUUGUAUGGAAAAAACGACUAGGUUAGGAAAUGAACUUAGUGUGAUGGUACCAUACCAGAAAGCCCCGGCUAACUACGUGCCAGCAGCCGCGGUAAUACGUAGGGGGCGAGCGUUAUCCGGAUUUAUUGGGCGUAAAGCGUGUGUAGGCGGUUUGUUAAGUUUAAGAUUAAAGCCCGGGGCUCAACUCCGGUAAGUCUUAAAAACUGGCAGGCUUGAGUACGGUAGAGGCAAACGGAAUUUCUAGUGUAGCGGUGAAAUGCGUAGAUAUUAGAAGGAACACCAGUGGCGAAAGCGGUUUGCUGGGCCGUUACUGACGCUGAGGCACGAAAGCGUGGGGAGCAAAUAGGAUUAGAUACCCUAGUAGUCCACGCCGUAAACGAUGAGUACUAAGUGUUGGGGUUACCCAGUGCUGAAGCUAACGUAUUAAGUACUCCGCCUGAGUAGUACGGUCGCAAGGCUGCAACUCAAAUGAAUUGACGG